rnacentral:rRNA from 1 species
GGGGAUAACCGGGGGAAACCCGGCCUAAUACCCCAUGCCGCCCGGACCGGGCAUCCGGUCCGGGCGAAAGGAGGAAUCCGGUGGCGGCUGGGCAUGCGGCGCAUUAGCUUGACGGCGGGGUAACGGCCCACCGUGGCGACGAUGCGUAGGGGUUCUGAGAGGAAGGCCCCCCACACUGGAACUGAGACACGGUCCAGACUCCUACGGGAGGCAGCAGUGAGGAAUAUUGGUCAAUGGGCGGAAGCCUGAACCAGCCAAGUCGCGUGAGGGAAUAAGGCCCUACGGGUCGUAAACCUCUUUUGCCGGGGAGCAAGGGCCGGGACGAGUCCCGGUCCGGAGAGUACCCGGAGAAAAAGCAUCGGCUAACUCCGUGCCAGCAGCCGCGGUAAUACGGAGGAUGCGAGCGUUAUCCGGAUUUAUUGGGUUUAAAGGGUGCGUAGGCGGGCUUUUAAGUCAGCGGUAAAAAUUCGGGGCUCAACCCCGUCCGGCCGUUGAAACUGGGGGCCUUGAGUGGGCGAGAAGAAGGCGGAAUGCGUGGUGUAGCGGUGAAAUGCAUAGAUAUCACGCAGAACCCCGAUUGCGAAGGCAGCCUUCCGGCGCCCUACUGACGCUGAGGCACGAAAGUGCGGGGAUCGAACAGGAUUAGAUACCCUGGUAGUCCGCACAGUAAACG